ACGUCCCAAUGGUUAAUGGCUUCUACUUUUGCCCGAGAGGAGAGCUUUUACCUUUAACUAUGAAGAAAGCUAAAUAAUAAUCCAGAGAAAAAUUCAUGAAAUAUGAUGCAUCGAAACUCAGUAAACUAAGAUUACGAUUGCUCGAUCUUUAUAUCGCAAUUGCUGAUGUAAAUUUUUCGCUAUAAUACGAUAAAUAACCGCGUUUGAUACGAGGAUUUGUAUCUGUGAGAAAAAAGGCACCGCGAGUACGGAAAUAUUGAAGAGGAAUAAGGCGGCGGCCCCCGAGGACGCAGACCCGACAACGAUAAUACGUCGAUUCUUCCUCUUGGAGCAGCCCAGAUGCGAGAGAUCUUGACACCCUGGAGGAUAACGACAAACGAUAAUUGCACUAGGUGACAUGCCUAGCGGUCGUGACUCGGAAAGGAAUGGACGUUACAAGUCGAGAAGGCGCGAGAGCGGAGGUGGUGCGGACAUAAGUCGUCAUGGUUACGAUGUACCCGAGAAGAAGCACAGGAAGCAUGGAAAGAGCAAAAGUUCGGGUAAAAAGAAGAAGAAGAGGUCGAGGGACAAGUCGAUGGACAGUGUACCGACCGUAGCUUCAUCGGUGAUAAAGCCAUUGGUCGAGUAUUCGGAUGUGAGUAGCGAAGAUCUCUCUGAGCCGGAAGCGGGUGAGAUUCAAUCGGAGGAGAGUCGAGGCAAUAGUUAUACAGACAACGAAAUAAUACAGGAUUCACGUUUGUCAACGCGUUAUUAUUGCUCGACGGCGAGUCCGAGACGUCAGUUGGGGGCAUCACCGAUAAGUUUAUCACCGUCACCACCGAUACCAGUGAUAAAGCAUCGUCCUGUUCAACAACACAGACGUUAUUCGCCAGAAGGGAGUGGCGACGAUGCGUCGUUGUCUUUGUUGCCGCAAGGCUCGACUUCUCAACAGCAGUCUGAAGGGACGGCGACGACGACAUCGACGAUGACGACGACAACAGCAACGGCGACGCCGACAACGACGUCGCCGCCGAACGCGACAAGCACGAUGGCGGCGGAGACAGCAGCGACGACGGUGAUAGAUUCGUGCUCGCCGGAUUACGGGAACGAGGAAGGGAGCCGUAGGUACUCCAGACGGAAGGAAAAGAAGCACAAAAGAGAGAAGAAAAAGAAAAGGAGCACAAGUCCUGGCUCGAGUACCGGCAAAAAGAGAAAACGAAAAUCGAAGCGGGUUUCUCCGAGCCCAUCCCCACGGGAUGAGCAGCUACACCAACGAUCCACGUUGAGAGAUUCCAGCGCAAACGCUCGGCCCGAAACCGACACGACGAUAGGCAGUGCAGCGGAGAGUGUUGCCCCGAGCUGGCCGGAGUCACCACCGCUCCCGCUCAAAGACAGCACGUCACCUAUUUCACCGGCUACUCCUCACGAGGAUGAGCCCAGUAGACGUUCUCCAAGCGACAUGGAUCUCGAGUCUCCCCAGCCUCGCGACGACGAUCACGAGGCUACCCCACCACCCUCGAUAAAUUUAAUAAGUUCGAGGCAUACCGAAUCACCGCAUACGCCACUUUUACCACCCCGAACGGUAACGCCCGAGAGUACGAGCUCCAAACAUCACCAUCACCAUCACCAUUCUCAUCCUCAUCAGCAUCCUCAACAACACCAUCAGCAACAACAUCAACACCAUACGAUGACCGAUCGACGACGAACGAGUCACAGUCCUAUUCAGUCUUUGCGGCGUACCUUAAGUCCCGUUAUGACUAGUGCCUCGAGGAGAAGACCUCACAGUCCUAGUCCACCCUCCAGACGGAGAGACCACAGCCCACCGAGAAGAAGAGACUACAGUCCUGGUAGUGGAAUCAAUCGUUUGAGACACUCGCCAAGUCCGAGUGUUAUGCGACGCAGAGAAUUUAGCCCGAGCCCUGGCGGACACAGACGACGCACCUCCGAUUCCCUGACCACCGCUGUAACCAGUUCGCCGCCUAGCAGCAGCAGCAAACGGAGACGAAGGGACGAGCCUGACCGACGACACAGGCAUCAUGAAAAGGACAGAAGGGAUAAGAGAAAAUCGAGGUCGACGAGAAGUCCCGUGCCCAAUAGAUUGCCGAUGCCGUUGUCACGCUCGCGAUCUCGAAGCCCCAGCAGAUGGAGGAAAAGCGGGGCUCAGUCCCGUUCGCGGUCGCGUUCCCGACGGAGAAGUCGUACCCCCAAAAAGAACAAAUCCCGGUCACCUUUAAGCAAAUCACACAAAACGACGCGGAAGCACAAAUCCAAGAGUCCCCGACCAUCGAGAAUACCCUCCCCGUCGCCGCAGCGUUCCCGCAAUACCCGCAGUCCAACGAGCAUAACAGCUCGAAAUCUUCGUGUACAAGCCAAGAUAAGCGAGACAAGCUUGUUUGCCGAGCUCGUAAAGGAUCGAAAUAUGCGAGAACUGGCGCUCAAAAGGCUUCAAGAGGCUAAAGAAAAAGCGGGUAGUCACGACGACGUACAAAUAAUCGAAGGUACGGACGAGAAAGAUUCAUCGACUGCGCCGCGUCCGCCUCUGCCAUCGAGCCCAGACAAACUGCCGACCAACGGUCGUCAAGGCCAGCCGGCGAGCAGCAAUCAAACAUCGAAUCCUCCGGUCGAAUCAGCCGAUGCUCCGUGUGUGGAAAUCAUUGAUAUUCCUGUGCCGGUCAUAACGGUGCCUCCUCCAUCCGUCAAUCUAACCUACGAUGAGAAUUCCGUUGCCGGGAAAACGCCACCCCUGCCAACGGUCAACUCACCGGCGUCAGCGACUAUUAUUUCAAGCCUCGCCAACGUCGCAUCCAGUUUGACACCCCGAUCGAAUCAGUCGCCCAUCAUCAUUGUAAAUAAUUCACCAAUCACUGUCAACACCAAGAAUACCGUUGUUCCUGUUCAAAUAACUACUGCCAACAGCAACAGUAACAAUAGCUGCGGUACAACGCCGACGAUUACCCCUGCAAACAUUACAACUAUCGGAACAAAUAACAAUGCCCCUGCUCCUCCGUAUCACGACGGUACGAGCAUCAUCAGCGGACGAACACCACCGCCACCACUUCUGACUGAUCCAAACAGCAUGCAAACAACAACCCCGAGCAUACUCCCAAAUCUUUCAAUUCCACCUCCCACGAUCACGAGCACAUCAACCGCGAUCUCCAAAUUCAAUACACCCAACAAUUUGGUACCACUCAAAUCAAUCGAUCCACCAAAACCCCCGAUCGUUUCUUUCAAGACGAAAAGUCUCUCGAAACUACCCCUCCCACCGGGCAUCAAUCAAAACGACCUCGAAAGCAUCGAUUCGCCACCCAGUCGAUCGCCGAGCCCUCCGGCCAAAGGACAACCACCAAAAAUAACGCCUACGACACCGGCUCCUUCCAAAGUACCUUUGAAAAAAGGUAUCAAAGACUUACCAAUGCCACCAGAUUUCAGCGGGGAAGAUGACGCAACCGCGACCCCACCGAGAUCAGCGCUGGACAGAGUGACCCCUAAACCAAAGCUCAAAAGACCGAAAAUCCUCAAGAGACGAAGUUCCCGCAAUUGUCACACGCCAAUGUCCGCCUCGGGUGGAAAAGACUGGGGCGAACGAUGCGUCGACGUCUUCGAAGUCAUCGCCCAAAUUGGUGAAGGUACUUACGGCCAGGUUUACAAAGCCCAGGACAAACGGGCUUCGGUUCUUGUUGCUCUGAAAAAAGUUCGACUGGAAAACGAGAAAGAGGGAUUCCCGAUAACUGCUGUCAGGGAAAUUAAAAUACUUCGACAACUCAACCACAAAAAUAUUGUCAAUCUCCGCGAAAUUGUCACUGACAAACAGGACGCCCUGGAUUUCCGAAAGGACAAAGGUUCGUUUUAUCUGGUAUUCGAGUACAUGGAUCACGAUCUCAUGGGCCUGUUGGAAUCUGGGAUGGUCAAUUUCAACGAAAUGAACAACGCCAGCAUAAUGAAGCAGCUUUUGGACGGUCUGAAUUACUGUCAUGGAAAGAAUUUCCUCCACCGUGACAUCAAGUGUUCCAACAUAUUGAUGAACAACCGAGGGGAAGUCAAAUUGGCUGAUUUCGGUCUCGCUCGUUUGUACAACGCCGAAGACAGACAACGUCCUUACACGAACAAGGUGAUAACUCUCUGGUAUCGCCCGCCAGAACUGCUCCUUGGGGAAGAGCGUUAUGGACCGGCGAUCGACGUUUGGAGUUGUGGUUGCAUACUCGGUGAAUUGUUUUCCAAAAAGCCAUUGUUCCAGGCCAACAUAGAGAUGAUGCAGCUCGAAAUAAUAUCCCGAGUAUGCGGGACUCCGACCCCGGCGGUAUGGCCGUCGGUUAUAAAAUUGCCACUGUGGCAUACGCUCAAACCAAAAAAGUCCCACAGACGUCGCCUUAGAGAAGAUUUCUCGUUUAUACCGGCUCCCGCCCUCGAUUUGCUCGACAAAAUGCUCGAGCUUGACCCAGAAAAGCGUAUUACCGCUUCGGACGCUCUAAAAAGUGCCUGGUUGAAGAAUAUCCAGCCAGAACAAAUGCCACCCCCGCAACUACCGACAUGGCAGGAUUGUCACGAGCUGUGGAGUAAAAAAAGAAGACGUCAGUUCCGCGAAUAGCAAGAGUUAAUAGGAGGAAAAGUGCCUCUUCUGCUUCUUCUGCCCAACAAACUCGGGCCGCAAAAAGCUGCCGAUUACCUGUCUGACUUCGGGGGAUCAUCGGAGCACCUGAAAGUACAGGCGGGUUAUAAUUCUCAAGCGAAUGACGAAAUAAAAAGGCUGAAUUUGGAACUGGAGCGCGGCGGUGGUGGUGGGGAUAAAAUAUUUGGCGAGGCUGGAUCAUUCACGGUUGAAACGUCAAAGUACGCGAGCAGUCCGGUGAGGAAGGAAAAAAUAUCAAAAAGCAGCAGGCAAUCGACCGACGAGGGUGAACUUGUGCAUGAAUCAACCUCGUCGAGGAAUCCGGCGCAUCGUUUCCAAGGGAAACGAAGAGAACGAUCCGAAGCCGAAUUAUAGUUGGCAAAUCAGCACGGGGAGUUUCGUCCGCCACUCGAAAUGCCCAAUCAUCUGGACCAUCGGAUUCCGCAUCUGUGCCUCGCCUUCACUCACCGAUUGCAGAGAUGUUAUCAGCAAAAAGGAAUCGCAAGUCGUAGAUUCCGGAGGACGAUCGCUAUCGACAAUCUCAAUUCACGGGGCAGCAGCUUCGUCGACUCGCCACGUUCAUCUCCGAUUUGACGGUUCAACCAAUUUUUUGUCAUUCUUCAUUUCGUCCUUUGCCUCGCUUCGGCCGCUGGUCCAAUUUUCUUGACCGAAUGAUCCACCCAUGCAGCAAUAUUUAGAGCAUUUACACCGAUGAAUUUAAAGUUCCAAGCGGUCUCUUCAAUCGUACGUCAUUUUUCUACUAUUUGCAAUCGAUUUGUUUUUUUUUUUUUUUUUUUCAUCUAAAUAACCCGCCCGCCUAUUGUACAAAAACCACUAAUAGACCAAGAAAGAAAAUGUCGUCACUUUUCGUCGUAGUUUUAACUAUGAAAUAUAUUUAUUAUCAAUUGUACAUAAUUAUUGCUACGUCCAUGUACUCGAGAUAAAAUAAUUGUAAAAAAUCUCGAGCGGAUACAUGUAAAUAUUUGCAGGGAAACGAAAAUAAAUAUUAAUCGAAAUA
rnacentral:misc_RNA from 1 species